rnacentral:rRNA from 1 species
CAGUCGCCGCGGUAAAACGUAGGUGGCAAGCGUUGUCCGGAAUUAUUGGGCGUAAAGCGCGCGCAGGUGGUUUAAUAAGUCUGAUGUGAAAGCCCACGGCCCAACCGUGGAGGGUCAUUGGAAACUGUUAAACUUGAGUGCAGGAGAGAAAAGUGGAAUUCCUAGUGUAGCGGUGAAAUGCGUAGAGAUUAGGAGGAACACCAGUGGCGAAGGCGGCUUUUUGGCCUGUAACUGACACCGAGGCGCGAAAGCGUGGGGAGCAAACAGGAUUAGAUACCCGCGUAGUCCCUGUCUCUUAUAC